AGUGUCCUGUCAGAUCCGGCUUUAACUGAUUCUUUGCUUUGCCACGAAUAAAACAGGGUAUAUAGGGAUACAUCCUGUUUCCAUCCUUUCGCACAACUUUCAUUUCAAUUCCAUUUAGAUGCUCCAGUCUAUUCAUGUAGAAAAUAACACUGUUGACAUCAAGAAGCUAUAGAGAUUUUAACUGCAUGCUUGGUUUUGAGCAAAAAUACUUCACAAUGUCUUAUUUGGUGUGUAAGUUCACACAGAAUACCAAUGAAAAGUAAAUGCCACCAAAACUUCAGUGUCAGGAUUAGACUACUGCUGUGUGUGUUGCUCUCCACUGACGCAUCUGGCAUACAGGCAAGUCCAGAUCAGUCAGUUCUAUUAAAUUGGUCUUAGAGAUGUGGACUUUCUGCAGAAAACACAGAAUGGAAAACAUGCAGUUU
rnacentral:misc_RNA from 1 species